CCUGGCUCAGGACGAACGCUGGCGGCGUGCCUAAUACAUGCAAGUCGAACGAAUCUAGAAGUUAGCUUGCUAACUUCUAGGUUAGUGGCGGACGGGUGAGUAACACGUAGGCAACCUGCCCCUAAGAUCGGGAUAACAUUCGGAAACGAAUGCUAAGACCGGAUAAACAAUUUGGUCGCAUGGCUGGAUUGGGAAACACGGCGCAAGCUGUGGCUUAGGGAUGGGCCUGCGGCGCAUUAGCUAGUUGGUGGGGUAACGGCUCACCAAGGCGACGAUGCGUAGCCGACCUGAGAGGGUGAACGGCCACACUGGGACUGAGACACGGCCCAGACUCCUACGGGAGGCAGCAGUAGGGAAUCUUCCACAAUGGGCGAAAGCCUGAUGGAGCAACGCCGCGUGAGUGAGGAAGGCUUUCGGGUCGUAAAGCUCUGUUGCCAGGGAAGAAUAAGGGUGAGAGUAACUGCUCAUCCGAUGACGGUACCUGAGAAGAAAGCCCCGGCUAACUACGUGCCAGCAGCCGCGGUAAUACGUAGGGGGCAAGCGUUGUCCGGAAUUAUUGGGCGUAAAGCGCGCGCAGGCGGUUCUUUAAGUCUGGUGUCUAAGUGCGGGGCUCAACCCCGUGAUGCACUGGAAACUGGGGAACUUGAGUGCAGAAGAGGAGAGCGGAAUUCCACGUGUAGCGGUGAAAUGCGUAGAGAUGUGGAGGAACACCAGUGGCGAAGGCGGCUCUCUGGACUGUAACNGACGNGA
rnacentral:rRNA from 1 species